ACCAAAAUUCAAACUUGAUCUGAGUUUUGUGGUAAUAAGCAUUGUGUAUAAGUUUCAUAACAUUUGGUUGAGGCAAACUUAAGUUAGAGAACGGAAACGAAAAAUUCAGCAAUUUUUCCAUUUGUAAAGGGGCAUAACUCCAGAACGGUAAAAGUAACGCCACCAAAAUUCAACUUGAUCUGUGUUUUAUCAGUGGAAGUCAAAAUUAAACAUUGCAUUGUAUAAAGCAUUGAUUGUAGUUGAUUCAACUAUAAUCAUGGACAAAGGAAGAUAACUACAAUUUUAAUAAAAUGCUUCGCUGGGCGCAGCUUGAUACGACAGCAGAGGUUGAACCCUGAACAGUUGGGGCAAGUAUGGACACAACAUUCAAGCUUGAUACAGCUCUGAAUUUGGAUUGUGAUUAAAUAUUUGACACAGCUUAGGUUUCUAACACAGAUUGAAUGUGGUCUAAGAACUUAAAAAUUUUAAAUUGGACAUUCACCUAUUAUGGUCCAAUAUCCAAAAUCUAAAUACAUGGUUAGAUUCAGCAUAUCAAAGAACCCCAAGAAUUCAAUUUUUGAUGAAAUCAAACAAAGUUUAAUUUUGGACCCUUUUGACCUCAAUGUGGACAAAGUUGAUAACGGGGCCCAAAAAUCAAAAAUCUAAAUACAUGGUUAGAUUCAGCAUAUCAAAGAACCCCAUAUAUUCAAUUUUUGUUGAAAUCAAACAAAGUUUAAUUUUGGACCCCAAUUUGGACCAACUUGAAAACUGGGCCCAAAAUCAAAAAUCUAAAUACAUGUUUAGAUUCAGCUUUUCAAAGAACCCUAAGAAUUCAAUUUUUGUUAAAAUCAAACUAAGUUUAAUUUUGGACCCUUUGGACCUUAAUGUAGACCAAUUUGAAAACGGAACCAAAAAUUAAGAAUCUAAAUACACAGUUAGAUUCGGCAUAUCAAAGAACCCCAAUAAUUCAAUUUUUGAUGAAAUCAAACAAAGUUUAAUUUUGGACCCUUUUGACCUCAAUGUGGACAAAGUUGAUAACGGGGCCCAAAAAUCAAAAAUCUAAAUACAUGGUUAGAUUCAGCAUAUCAAAGAACCCCAUAUAUUCAAUUUUUGUUGAAAUCAAACAAAGUUUAAUUUUGGACCCCAAUUUGGACCAACUUGAAAACUGGGCCCAUAAUCAAAAAUCUAAAUACAUGUUUAGAUUCAGCAUAUCAAAGAACCCUAAGAAAUUCAAUUUUUGUUAAAAUCAAACUAAGUUUAAUUUUGGACCCUUUGGACCUUAAUGUAGACCAAUUUGAAAACGGAACCAAAAUUUAAGAAUCUAAAUACACAGUUAGAUUCGGCAUAUCAAAGAACCCCAAUAAUUCAAUUUUUGAUGAAAUCAAACAAAGUUUAAUUUUGGACCCUUUGGACCUCAAUGUGGACCAAUUUAAAAACGGGGCCCAAAAUCCAAAAACUAAAUACACGGUUAGAUUCAGCAUAUUAAAGAACCCCAUGAAAUCAAGAAUAAAACCCCAUUGAAAUUGGUCAAGAAAUAAGCAAUUUAUAGGAAGUAUCUUCUUUUGCACAAUCCUGUGCUAUCAAAUAUUUCUUGCUAUUGCGCAAUACUGUACAAUUGACAAUUUCUUGCUAUUGCGCAAUAUUGUGCUAUUGGAUAUUUCUUGCUAUUGCGCAAUACUGUGCAAUUGAAGAUUUCUUGCUAUUGCGCAAUACUGUGCAAUUGAAGAUUUCUUGCUAUUGUGCAAUACUGUGCAAUUGAAAAUUUCUUGCUAUUGCACAAUACUUAUUAUAUAAUAAUUUACACAUCCUGUUUGGUGUGUAUCUCCUACCAUAUCAUUAUUAUUUGAUUUUAAAUAUAAAUCAGAAAUAACCAACUUAAAAUGGAAAAUUUUAAAAGAAACAAAAAAGGAAAAAAAGAAAAAAAAGGAAAAAAAAAAUAAA